UUUGACAUAUGUCUGACUUGACCACGUUGGGCAUUAUUUUGGUCCUAAGACAGCCCUGUGAGGUAGGUAGGCAAAGAUUAUUGUUGCUACUUUACAGGUAUGGAAACUGAGGGUCAGGAGGGUAAGUGACUUACACAAGGUCGCCAAGCUAAUGUGUGUCAAGGUGGUUCGCGGAGGUGAGGAAUGGAAGGGGGAUUUGUAAAGGGUCUCCUGAUUUUCAAGUGAAGGCUUUCUAGGGGGGUGCUCUUACUAUUUGGAGAAAUGACAUGUUAAUAAGAGAUAUCUGUGGGCAAAUACAUUUGAAAUAAGAAUAUGAUUCAUUUGCAAUCUUUCAAAAGAGGUUGUCAAAAUAAAUUCCAAGUCAACAUAUUUAAAAAUAUAUUUAUUGAGGUUUUCUAUGUGCCCGGUACUGGACCUGGUGAUCAUGCAUUUUCAGCAGACUUGCUGAAUGAACGCUACCCAGGAGCGACGCAAUGCCAUCACACAUCCUUCUUGGGAGCAACUCGAAAGCCUGCCUUUCGAGUUUACUUCUGUUACUCUCUCAGCUCAAGGCCUGAGUCAUUUCACUAAAUGAGUGUUCUGCCUUGGCCCUCUCCCAGUCAACAGCUGCAAGGUACCAGAUUGGCACGAAGCAGGAAAAGUUUGUUAUCACACUGAGAGCGCGGCUACCACCCAGGUCAAGAACUGGAAGCUGAGCAGCACCCAGAACUCUCCGACGUGCUCACUCCCAACAGUCCUCCUCCUCCUCCAAUGAAAACCCCCAUCUGACUUCUGACACCGUGGAUUUGUUUGGCCUGUUUUUUAACUUUAUCUAAAUGUAAUCGUACAGUAUGUGAGCUCUACCCUCUCAACUCCUGUCCCACGCUGAAGUGCUUAGCCUAAGACCACAAAAAGUGGAAGGGCAGUCUCAUUUUCUCUGACCACCCAAUAGAUGAGCAGCUAGGAGAGGAGGCGCGCUGGCUCGUGCCUUGCUUCUUUUAGGAAGAGGACAUUUGGGGUUCAGCAUUCUUUGCUCCCAAGUUUGAAUUAUGGUCCUUUAUGACUACUUGUAUUAGCUUCCUAUUGCUGCUGGAAUAAAAUACUGCAAAUUUAGUGUCUUAA
rnacentral:lncRNA from 1 species